GGUUCAGGUGGUUAGCGAGGAUGCAGUGGUGCUGCGCCGGGAGGAAAGGGAACUGGCGCCGGGAGCUAAGCAGGAGCAGCAGCAGGGCGCGAAUCCUGGACUUGGAGAUGAAGACGAUGAUGGCGCGGCGAAUGACGAGCCUGUAGACAAAGGAGAAAAGGAUGACGACGGCGCGGCGAAUGACGAGCCUGUAGACAAAGGAGAAAAGGAUGACGACGGCGCGGCGAAUGACGAACCUGUAGACAAAGGGGAAAAGGAUGACGACGGCGCGGCGAAUGACGAGCCUGUAGACAAAGGAGAAAAGGAUGACGACGGCGCGGCGAAUGACGAGCCUGUAGACAAAGGAGAAAAGGAUGACGACGGCGCGGCGAAUGACGAGCCUGUAGACAAAGGGGAAAAGGAUGACGACGGCGCGGCGAAUGACGAGCCUGUAGACAAAGGAGAAAAGGAUGACGACGGCGCGGCGAAUGACGAACCUGUAGACAAAGGGGAAAAGGAUGACGACGGCGCGGCGAAUGACGAGCCUGUAGACAAAGGAGAAAAGGAUGACGACGGCGCGGCGAAUGACGAGCCUGUAGACAAAGGGGAAAAGGAUGACGACGGCGCGGCGAAUGACGAACCCUUAGAUAAGGGCGAUAAAGAUGAAGAUGAGCCUCAGGGCGACGUGUUGGCUACGGGCGGCGAUGGAAUGGUCACCCCCGUCGGCGACAACGACGAUGACGGUGCCCAAAACGACGCUCCAGGGAACCUAGACGAGGAUGACGACACGGCGGAGGAGGGCGCCGCCGCCGCUGGCGCGAACACCACUGUUGGCGGCGGAAACCAAAGUGCUGCUGCCGCCGCUGCUGCCAUCGAUGUCGGCGCGGGCGCCGACGGCAGCAGCGUAUCUGCAUUAGAGGGCUCUUCGCGUCCCGGAGCGGUUGACGGCAGCACGGACUAUGACAAUGACAACGACCAGAGCGACUUGUACGUGGAUGUGGACCCCGAUGUGGAGGACUACGACGCCAAUCAGGACGUGGACCCCAAGAAACUGGUGCAGAGGGGGCAGUCGCAGAAACAGAAGCAAGGCGAACAGGAGCAAACGCCGCAAAAGCAGAAAGCGGAAAAGCAGGAUGUUGAAAAGGCGGGGCAGCAGGAGCAGCAG
rnacentral:lncRNA from 1 species